GAUGAACGCUGGCGGCGUGCCUAAUACAUGCAAGUCGAGCGAACAGACGAGGAGCUUGCUCCUCUGACGUUAGCGGCGGACGGGUGAGUAACACGUGGAGAACCUACCUAUAAGACUGGGAUAACUUCGGGAAACCGGAGCUAAUACCGGAUAAUAUAUUGAACCGCAUGGUUCAAUAGUGAAAGACGGUUUUGCUGUCACUUAUAGAUGGAUCCGCGCCGCAUUAGCUAGUUGGUAAGGUAACGGCUUACCAAGGCAACGAUGCGUAGCCGACCUGAGAGGGUGAUCGGCCACACUGGAACUGAGACACGGCCCAGACUCCUACGGGAGGCAGCAGUGGGGAAUCUUCCGCAAUGGGCGAAAGCUUGACGGAGCCACGCCGCGUGAGUGAUGAAGGUCUUCGGAUCGUAAAGCUCUGUUAUUAGGGAAGAACAAAUGUGUAAGUAACUAUGCGCGUCUUGACGGUACCUAAUCAGAAAGCCCCGGCUAACUACGUG
rnacentral:rRNA from 1 species